UCUAGUGACUACGGCAAAGAGGUCACACCCGUUCCCAUCCCGAACACGGCAGUUAAGCUCUUUAGCGUCGAUGGUAGUUGGGGUUAGCCCCUGCGAGAGUAGAACAUCGCUAGGC
rfam:Lysinibacillus sp. BF-4 contig00002, whole genome shotgun sequence.